CAGCUGAGGAAAUGAGCUUGCCAGCCCAGGGUAAGUUCUUAGAACUUAGAACACAGGGAUCUUUCAGACCCUGGGAGUCAAGUGGCAGACAGUGAGCCACAGGGGCAAAGUCAAGGACACUGAUUCUGCGUAAAGACCUUGAACAACAGGACAGGACCAGAACCAUAGCACAGGGUGCUCAUGGAUAAGGCGAAUGGGAUAUUUCCUUUUCUGCUUCCCAUAGCACUUUGUCCAGAAACAAAGAGUGGGGUGGGGCGCUAAGGGGCCAGUAAUCCAAGAGCUUCGCUGUUUCUUAACGCAACAUUAUAGACUGGAUUAUGGAUUGGUAGCAAUUACAUCUCUUCUGUUUUUUGCCUGCUUGGCAAAGGAGUACAAAUUCAGAAUAUUAUCCUAGAACAAGUCAGGUUUAAUUGCUUAUCUCAACAAAACUAUGAAAUCAGAGCAGCAGGUGACAUGAAGGAGGCAACUACCAAAAAUGCCAUGUCUAUAUGCAGAAAUGCCAGCGUGAAUGUCCUCCACAAUGUUAGCAAUGGUCAGGUUGGGGAUGGGCUGUUGCGGGUGAUUUCUUUACAUGGUAUUUGCUUAUAGUGCUUGGAUUUUUUUUCUUUCUUUUUUUUUUUUUUUGCCAAUGUAUUUAAAUUUUCACAAAAACAAAAGCCUUUUUAAAAAAGGCAAUCCAGACAAGUGGCUAUUUCCUCCUAGCUUUGGCUCUGGGGACACCUUGGCAUCCUGGGUGACAUGGUAGGUUACAGAGCCGCUAAAAUGGGCAUGGGCAGACACACUGAUCCAAUACUAAGAGUUCAGCUGUAGCGUCCGGUGUUUCAUGAUACUCACUUGUCUUCCUCCCUUGCAACCCAGCCAUUUCAUGGGACCAACGGGCCACCACAGGGCAUGGGAUCAGAUCUCAACACAUUCUGCAGGCCCUUGUCGAAAUUCUUCCCUAGUUCACUAGUGGGAGAGGGAUUGGGUGUGGUUGCCAAAGAAAUAAAAGCG
rnacentral:lncRNA from 10 species